ACCUCAAUCAUAGCAGAGUCGAGAGUAAGAGUCCUGGCAUUACCCAGUUCUGAUAACAUGGGUAUGACAAAAUCAUAAUGUAAUCCCUUCUCAUCCAAUGUUGCAUCAUUGAACUCAUUUGUAUCCCAUAAUUUUACAGAUACAUUCUCCAAUUCAUGAACUUUUGACCUGACCAUAAAGAUACCAACUAAAGAAAGUUCACGGAGCUUGUUUGACAAAACGGCUAUUUCAUGGAUCCAGCAAAUACAUGAAAAGUUGGUACAGAUCUUGAGGUGCACUAAUUGGGGACAAGAUAUCAAGCAGAGUCGAGAGUAAGAGUCCUGGCAUUACCCAGUUCUGAUAACAUGGGUAUGACAAAAUCAUAAUUUAAUCCCUUCUCAUCCAAUGUUGCAUCAUUGAACUCAUUUGUAUCCCAUAAUUUUACAGAUACAUUCUCCAAUUCAUGAACUUUUGACCUGACCAUAAACAUACCAACUAAAGAAAUUUCACGGAGCUUGUUUGACAAAACCGCUAUUUCAUGGAUCCAGCAAAUACAUGAAAUGUUGGUACAGAUCUUGAGGUGCACUAAUUGGGGACAAGAUAUAAUCCAAUUGUGUUUACACGAUCAACUGAAAGAUAUUGUAAUAUCCCGCACACUCACAAGUGCAGAGAAGAAAUCAGUCAUGUUCGCAGGUAAAUCUACCUAAUCCAGUUCCAGACUUAGUAAAGCUGGCAAAUCCCACACAUUUUCCGGCAAUUUGGCCCUUUUCAUAAUGAGGGUUGUCAGACAAGGCACGCUGAUAGACGACAGCGAUUCCGGCAACCUAAUGCCAUCAAGACACAGAGUCGUCAAAUUUGGCAACCAUAUCAAACAAUAUUCAGAGAAGUUAUAACUUGACAUAUGUGGCGGGCGUAUCAAAUGCAAAGCUUUUAAAGCAGGCAAGACCCACUCAGAAUCUGUUCGCAAUGAUUCAUCAUAGUCAAGAGGCACCCGUAACUUAAGUUUCUUCAAGGUAUCAGAACUAAACGUCGAUAACUUGAACGGCUUAUAACGAUGGAACUGCAAAUCGAUAUCGAGCUCUUCAACAUUAUGGUCAAUUGUAUAAUUAAUCAACCUUCUUACAAAAUUAGGCGGAAACGGAUAAACAGCAAGAAACUUGAAACAAGAAACAUGGGUAUCUUGGUCUCGAUUUUCCAAAACAUGGUCAAUAAAUCUGAUGAUACCAGAAUGAGUGUAUGGGAAAAGCUGAUCAUACCCAUCAAAUGAGAGGACAGGGAGACUAGUCCACAUACGCUUCCAUCUUUUGGAGAGAAUGCUUGUCUGAACCGCUUGUCGAGUGCCCAGAAAUGAUAGGAUCUGAUGAAUUAAUUCAUCGGGUAAGCUGCUGAGCCUGUCUUGUCCAUUUGGGUUUGUGAUUUUGAGCUUGCUGUUCAUUUCUGGUGCCCCAAUUUUCAGGGGUCUUGAGGGUUUACUCAUGACUGCUAAAAGGGGCUGUGCGACAUGUUAUAUAAGUUUAUAUAUAGUCGCAGGGGGAGUUUAUGCGUCAGGAGAGGCUGACUUGUUCGUGCGGGUCUAUCUGGAUCCUGUUGCUUAUUCAGGUGUUUUUUCUCCCUUUUUUUUUUCUUGAAUAUCUAGUUUUUUGUGAAAAUAAAAUCGUAUUUGGUCAAUAAAUAUCUGGACAAAAAGUUGGCAAAUUAUCUAGUAUUUUGUGAAAUAUAAAUUCCCAAACAGGGCAUAAUAAUAUUUGCAGUACAACAGCAAUGCUGUAUAUGCCAAUGACAACAUUUAUAAUCAGUGACUGUCAAUCCGUACUUAAUGCUUGUUUCUAUUCCCCCAUCACAUGAAAAACAAAAAAUAUAAAGAUAUAUUUUCUGGUUUCAACUUUGGAUUCAGUGUGUGUCGUAUCUGCCUACAGGACUGAGACUCACUAUAGAACAAUUUGUGUAUAAAGAAAACAGAUUACUUGCAUACCUGAGGCAAUGAUGUGACAAUAGUGGCUCUUGGAUUGCCACCGAGUAAGUAUUUUCUGAGGGUAGUAGAUAUACCAGAUUCUUUAUUUCCUUGAGGCAGUUUCACAUACUUCAAAUUUUUGAAUGGAGAAGGAACACGUCCCAAAUGGUUGGAAACUGUAUAAAGUACCUAAAAUAUAUUAUGACAAAAUACAUUAGUAUAAACAAUAUCUGAAAGCCAGUUGUAAUUAAGAACUAUUGUUCAGCAUAGAAUACACAAAGAUAACAUGUAACUUGCGCAUUAGUUCUUGCAGGAAUAUAUUAGUUUUUUGGAAGCCAGAUCACUCACGAAGCUGAACAGAAGUGGUGUGAUUACUCUUGGCUUAUAUAUUUUAUAAAUGUAAACCACUGUCCACCAGAUAAUAAUGUUUAACUACAUUCUGCUCCGGAAACUAGAAAUAUUUAUUAAAGCAUCAUAAAAGUCAAAUAUUAAUUUACCUCAAUCAUAGCAGAGUCGAGAGUAAGAGUCCUGGCAUUACCCAGUUCUGAUAACAUGGGUAUGACAAAAUCAUAAUGUAAUCCCUUCUCAUCCAAUGUUGCAUCAUUGAACUCAUUUGUAUCUUAUAAUUUUACAGAUACAUUCUCCAAUCCAUGAACUUUUGACCUGACCAUAUUGAUACCAACUAAAGAAAGUUCGCGGAGCUUGUUUGACAAAACCACUAUUUCAUGGAUCCAGCAAAUACAUGAAAAGUUGGAACAGAUCUUGAGGUGCACUAAUUGGGGACAAGAUAUAAUCCAAUUGUGUUUACACGAUCCACUGAAAGAUAUUGUAAUAUCCCGCACAACUCACAAGUGCAGAGAAGAAAUCAUUCAUGUUCGCAGGUAAAUCUACCUCAUCCAGUUCUAGACUUAGUAAAUCUGGCAAAUCCCACACAUUUUCCGGCAAUUUGGCCCUUUUCAUGAUGAGGGUUGUCAGACAAGGCACGCUGAUAGACGACAGCGAUUCCGGCAACCUAAUGCCAUCAAGACACGGAGUCGUCAAAUUUGGCAACCAUAUCAAACAAUAUUCAGAUAAGUUAUAACUUGACAUAUGUGGCGGGCGUAUCAAAUGCAAAGCUUUUAAAGCAGGCAAGACCCACUCAGAAUCUGUUCGCAAUGAUUCAUCAUAGUCAAGAGGCACCCGUAACUUAAGUUUCUUCAAGGUAUCAGAACUAAAUGUCAAUAACUUGAACGGCUUAUAACGAUGGAACUGCAAAUCGAUAUCGAGCUCUUCAACAUUAUGGUCAAUUGGAUAAUUAAUCAACCUUCUUACAAAAUUAGGCGGAAACGGAUAAACAGCAAGAAACUUGAAACAAGAAACAUGGGUAUCUUGGUCUCGAUUUUCCAAAACAUGGUCAAUAAAUCUGAUGAUACCAGAAUGAGUGUAUGGGAAAAGUUGAUCAUACCCAUCAAAGGAGAGGACAGGGAGAGUAGUCCACAUACGCUUCCAUCUUUUAGAGUGGAUGCUUGUCUGAACCGCUUGUCGAGUGCCCAGAAAUGAAAGGACUUGAUAUAUUAAUUCAUCAAGUAAGCUGCUGAGCCUGUGUUCUCCAUUUGGGUUUGUGAUUUUGAGCUUGCUGUUCAUUUUUGGUGACCCAAUUUUCAUGGGUCUCGAGGGUUUACUGAUUACUGCUAAAAGGGGGCUUAUGAUGGUAUGAAAUGGGAUAUAAAUUUAUGUCGUCUGAGGGGAGAUCAAGCGUCAGGACUCAGGAGAGGGUGUGGGGUAACCGAGCUGACUUGUUUUUUUGGAGCAGCGUCUAUUUGGAUACUAUUGUUUAUACAGAAGUCAAAAUAAAAAAUGGUAUAAAAUCCUUAUGUGAAUUGUAAAACUUUUAAAGCUAACAAGAAAACCAAGUAAUUGUCCCCGGUAAGAGAAAAAACAUCAUUACCGGUUAAAUAGAAAGUGAUAAACCAUUUCUGAUAGACAAGUAAUAGAUCCCUGAUCCCUUGACCCGGUAACAAACUCACUAGCAAAAUCAGUCAUUUCAAUCCAUAAAAAAGUUUUUCACCAAGGUGCAAAGCAUAUUUAGCUUUGGUGUAUAAAAUAUCUCAAUUUUGGCUAUGAAAUUAUUAAAAGCACUUCACUGUGAGAUCAAGUAGCCCUCCAAACUCCUAGUUCUGGCCCUGCUAUAACCCAAAAUCAACAAUUUCUCAGGAAGAGCUUGCCCCGUCAUUACCUGUCCCGGUUCCUUCAACUGGACAACCAAUCUGUCUCACCUUUCCAGCAUCUACAACAGAAUUCUCGACCAAAUGCUCUCCUUGAACCCUCUUCCCAGUAUCAACACAGACCUUUUGCGAUGUCGAGGAGUUUGACACCACUUGAUGAUUCAACUUUCUCUGGAAAAAAAAUGACAAAUGCUGAGUGAAAUAGAGCUUAUACCUUAUUGACGUAGAGAAAACGUCUCUAUUUAAUUCAGUACACUGUUAAGUAUCAACCCAAUAUGAAUGGGAUUCUGAGACUAUGAAUGAGAUUAGAUAUUUUAGAAUUAGAUUCUGAUUUGUCAAAGUUUGAGACGACUAUAUAUACAUAGUCAUAUUGUUUGAUAGGUAUGCUUGAGUGUUGAGUGUUGUUAGGCUUGAGUAUCCUAGUUUGUUGAAUUGCAUUAUUGAUAACGGUUUUGAUUAAUAAUACACGUUGCGACGUGUCGCGUCAUAUAAUUUUGUGUGUAUGUUUUGUAUCAGAAGAUUGAUCUCGCAUAUUAUUCCUAACAAGUGGUAUCAAGAGCCUAGGUUCAUGAUGGAUAAUAUGGGAGGAAAAUUCGAUAUUGAAUUGUUUAAUGGCAGAAAUAAUUUUACUUUAUGGCAGAGCAAAGUGAAAGAUUUCACAAGAAAAAGUUGUGCUCAACACAAGUAAAAUUCUGAAAACAGUAACAUUACACUCAUAACAAGUUAUAGAUCAUGAGGCAAUGAUAUUGACUGUUGAUUCACUGCAUGCUGCCUUGAGGAAAGUAAAUCAAGACUAUAUAAAUGUUUUUUCUUCUAAAGAAAUGCUGGAAUUUUUGGUCACACAAAAGCAAAUUUGGACGUGAAACUGAAUCAUGGCAUAAGAGCAGCUAUUCUCUAUGCAGCUAUUAAUCAAUUUAAAAAAAUAAGAAGAAAUUUAAUACGCAGAGAGGAAAUCAAACUACCUGCUGCCACUGCUGUCAAUAUUUCUGGUAAUACCCUCUCACACCAGAGAUUAACAAAAAUAAAAUAAAAUAGAAUGUAUGUAUGAAGAAGAAUUCAAAGAGGUGCUUUAUCAUCAUGAUCUUCAGUUUGAACAUCAUUUUUUAAAUGGUACAAUGAUACUCAACGACGCAAUGCACCAAACUGAUUAAGAUUUACUGAUCCUAACAACCCCAAGCUUAUUGUUCCUAGCUAUAGCUGUUAGUUGAGUGUCCUAGUAUAACGAUAAACAUAACUAUAUAUAUUAUUCUUAACAUAAUUUAUUAGUUUACCUUGUGUAAUAAGAUAAUACUUCUGCCUGAAUCAGGCAUUUAGCUUCCAGACUUUUCAAGAAUUUGUAGGAAACAUCUGCAUAAACCACCUUAGAAGAUGGUGUGAAAAGAAAGCGGCCUCAUUCAGCUUACGGACAGCCUUCUCCAAUUCUUCAAGUCUAGCAACCACGAUGAGAUCAGAAGGCCCAGAGCGAGCUUCAGUGUUGAUAUUAUGAGCCUUCUUCAACGUACAGAUAGUCUUCUCCAAUUCAUCAAUUCUAGCAACGACGUUGGGAUCAAAAGGCCCAGAGUGUGUUUCAUUUGUUACAUGUGGCUCAAUGCCCUGCUCCAAUAAAAGCAGACUACUCGCUUGCUCUAUCAAUUAUUUUUUUUAAUUGCACCCUUUAUUUUUUGACUUUUCCAGUCUGACAUCACAGGCUUACCAAUUUCAAUAGCCAAAGGACUCAUUUUCUGGAGAAACCACGAUGAGAUCAGAAGGCCCAGAGCGAGCUUCAGUGUUGAUAUUAUGAGCCUUCUUCAACGUACAGAUAGUCUUCUCCAAUUCAUCAAUUCUAGCAACGACGUUGGGAUCAAAAGGCCCAGAGUGUGCUUCAUUUGUUACAUGUGGCUCAAUGCCCUGCUCCAAUAAAAGCAGUCUACUCGCUUGCUCUAUCAAUUAUUUUUUUUAAUUGCACCCUUUAUUUCUUGACUUUUCCAGGCCGACAUCACAGGCUUACCAAUUUCAAUAGCCAAAGGACUCAUUUUCUGGAGAAAAAAAAAACCUGAGAGCGGUCGAAGAUAUGGGGUUUGGAUUGCUCAAAUAUCUUCCUGCUGUGAAGAUGGAACAGAAACUUGUCAAAAAGCUUGUAGAGAAUUUUGAUGUUGGCUCUUGCUCGCUAUUUGGGUUAACCAUCACGGCUCAACAUGGUGGUGAGAUUUUAGGAUUCCCAUCCAAGGGUAAACUUGUCCCAAAAGCCAUCUCAGAUGUGGAGCGAGACAAAUUCAAAGCCAAAUAUGAAAAAUUAAACUUCAAAAAGUUAACAGAGCUUUUAAAAAAAGCUGACCUCGACUUUACGGAGACUUUUAUGCUUUAUGCAUUUGGCCACUUUUAUUGUUCGUGUACCAAAGAUGUUCCAAGUCAAAAGCUUUACAACGCUUUAUCAGUUGUGCCUUCUGCCCGAGAAUAUAAUUGGGGCAAGUUUGUCUGUGAAUCCCUUCUCGAGGCCAUCACUAUAAAAGAAGAGAAAGUAAAGCAAAUAGCGAUUCACGGAAUAUGGAUUUUGGGGGCUGCACAUACUUUUUGAAGGUACUUUGAUUUGCGUUUGUGUUUCGUAUUUGUCUAAGAAACACUUCCUAGAUGGUCUUGUUUGUCUGACACUUACUUUCGUGUUUGUUGUUCUCAGGGUUUUUUUUCUCCAGAAAAUCAGUCCUUUGGCUACUGAAAUUGGUAAGCCUGUGAUGUCGGCCUGGACAAGUCAAUAAAUAAAAGGUGCAAUUAAAAAAAGAUGAUGGAGCAAGCGAGUAGACUGCUUUUAUUGGAGCAUGACGUUGUGCCACGUGUAACAAAUGAAGCACACUCUGGGCCUUCUGAUUCCAUCGUGGUUGCUAGAAUUGAUGAAUUAGUGAAGACUAUCCGUACGCUGAAGGAGGCUCAUAAUACCAACACUGAAGCUCGCUCUAGGCCUUCUAAUCCCGACGUGGUUGCUAGACUUGAUGAAUUGGAGAAGGUUAUCCGUAAGCUGAAUGAGGCCGCUUUCUUUUCACAACCAUCUUUCAAGGUGGUUCAUGCAGAUAUUUCCUACAAAUUCUUGAAAAGUCUAGAAGCUAAAUGCCUGAUUCAUGCAGAAGUAUUAUCUUAUUACAUAAGGUAAACUAAUAAAUUAUGUUCAGAAUAAAAAAUGGGGAUUUGGGGAUGUGGUGAUUAUGACAUAUAUAAAAAUAUACAUAAUGCAAGAAACACAAUUUAAUUAAAAUAUAUAAAUCCUUAAUAUCAAAAUGCAUAGUGAUUAAAGUGAUUAAAACUUCUUUAUAGCAAUAAUAAUAAAUAUGUAAAAGAAAUAAUCAGCUAUAAAAUAUAUAAUCAAACAUAUAUUUCAAUACUUCAGGGAGUUGAAAAUAAGCAUAGAUCCGGUUUGGGGUAUACGCACAAGACACUCAACAUACAAGGUUCCGUAAUGUAUAGCAGCGGCCUUUCUUUUUUGCUUUUGACAAGCGGAAUAUGUAACUUCGAUCAUAGGGAUCAAUUUUUAGUCAUUAAAAGGACACUCAAAUCGGGUACUAUACGAAGUAUUUUAAACACGGGAAAGAAAAUACAGAGCAAGGUCUAGUUCGAGCUGUCGUGUAAAAGAAAACUGUUGAUAGUAUCCAUUUCGUUUACAUUAAAUGUUAUUUGUAAAACAUUAUUAUGAUAUCCAUUUCGUUUACAUAUAAAUUUGACUCAAAUUUUAUAUUUUAAAAAUAGGUUUGACGGUUAAAAUAUAUAAUUAAAUUUCAAAAUUGAUGCGAAGUUAUCAUGCCUCAAAAUAUUAAGAUUAACAUUUAAGAUUGAUUUCUUGAUAAAUACAUUCAUAAUUUCAUAUACAAAACAAAAACUUGUAUCAAGUAACUUCAGAAGNAGCCUCAUGUUGAUAUUAAGUAAGAUUAACAUUUAAGAUUGAUUUCUUGAUAAAUACAUUCAUAAUUUCAUAUACAAAACAAAAACUUGUAUCAAGUAACUUCAGAAGUUGAUCAUAUAAUAACGAAAAAAAUUAUAUAUAUUUUAGGAAAGAAUAAAACUAAUAGCACUAAAUACCCUAUAAAACAAAUUAAGUCUUAAACUAGCUAGCCUCAUGUUGAUAUUAAUUUGUGAAAAGCAAUACAUAAAUAAGCUACAGGGUGGACCACCACUGGGGCUUGCCCUGGUGUAGCUCCGCCCAUGAGUACACAUCUUAGUCAAUAUCAAUCGGCAAAGAGAACUCAUAACCGGUAAAGGAAAAGGAGAUAGAACAACAAUUCUCCUUCAUUUCCCAUAGUUGUCUCUUCAGAUUAAUGCAAGCCUGGAUCAACUGGUAGGUCAACGUUAAUCAAAUAAUUGCAAAUUGUCAUUCCAACACCCGCACAAAUCUGAACCGUAAAAGACAAGGACACACGGGGGGGCUCACCCCUUACAUAUAUGGCCGCACCCUCGCACCCCAAGGUAUCUCGCGGGAAAGAUCUUUUUCCACACCCCUGCUUUAUAGGCUAGAACAUAUAGGCCGUGUUUGAAAGUUAGAGAUUUGGAGUGUUUAAGAGGUUUGACCAUUUUACUCCGCUAAUUUUAGUAUUUGAUAGUUAGCGGAUUGAAAUAGAGGUUCGGGCUCAAAAAUGUACUUUGAGGAGCUUUUUGGGUUAGAGGUUUUGGUAUGUGUCAUAAAAAGCUAAUCAAACAGCUUUACCAAACAGUUUUACAAGAAACCACUAAUUAAAUCCGCUAGUCAAAACAUCUAUUUUAAUCAGCUAGUCAAAACAUCUAAUUCAAUCCGCUAACAGCUAACUGCUAAUUCCCAAACAGGGCAUAAUAAUAUUUGCAGUACAACAGCAAUGCUGUAUAUGCCAAUGACAACAUUUAUAAUCAGUGACUGUCAAUCCGUACUUAAUGCUUGUUUCUAUUCCCCCAUCACAUGAAAAACAAAAAAUAUAAAGAUAUAUUUUCUGGUUUCAACUUUGGAUUCAGUGUGUGUCGUAUCUGCCUACAGGACUGAGACUCACUAUAGAACAAUUUGUGUAUAAAGAAAACAGAUUACUUGCAUACCUGAGGCAAUGAUGUGACAAUAGUGGCUCUUGGAUUGCCACCGAGUAAGUAUUUUCUGAGGGUAGUAGAUAUACCAGAUUCUUUAUUUCCUUGAGGCAGUUUCACAUACUUCAAAUUUUUGAAUGGAGAAGGAACACGUCCCAAACUGUUGGAAACUGUAUAAAGUGCCUAAAAUAUAUUAUGACAAAAUACAUUAGUAUAAACAAUAUCUGAAAGCCAGUUGUAAUUAAAAACUAAUGUUCAUCAUAGAAUACACAAAGAUAACAUGUAAGUUGCGCAUUAGUUCUUGCAGGAAUAUAUUAGUUUUCUGGAAGCCAGAUCACUCAGGAAGCUGAAGAGAAGUGGUGUGAUUACUCUUGGCUUAUAAAUUUUAUAAAUGUAAACCACUAUCCACCAGAUAAUAAUGUUUAACUACAUUCUCCUCCGGAAACUAGAAAUAUAUAUUAAAGCAUCAUAAAAGUCAAAUAUUAAUUUACCUCAAUCAUAGCAGAGUCGAGAGUAAGAGUCCUGGCAUUACCCAGUUCUGAUAACAUGGGUAUGACAAAAUCAUAAUGUAAUCCCUUCUCAUCCAAUGUUGCAUCAUUGAACUCAUUUGUAUCCCAUAAUUUUACAGAUACAUUCUCCAAUUCAUGAACUUUUGACCUGACCAUAAAGAUACCAACUAAAGAAAGUUCACGGAGCUUGUUUGACAAAACCGCUAUUUCAUGGAUCCAGCAAAUACAUGAAAAGUUGGUACAGAUCUUGAGGUGCACUAAUUGGGGACAAGAUAUAAUCCAAUUGUGUUUACACGAUCCACUGAAAGAUAUUGUAAUAUCCCGCACACUCACAAGUGCAGAGAAAAAAUCAUUCAUGUUCGCAGGUAAAUCUACCUCAUCCAGUUCCAGACUUAGUAAAGCUGGCAAAUGCCACACAUUUUCCGGCAAUUUGGCCCUUUUCAUAAUGAGGGUUGUCAGACAAGGCACACUGAUAGACGACAUCGAUUCCGGCAACCUAAUGCCAUCAAGAGACAGAGUCGUCAAAUUUGGCAACCAUAUCAAACAAUAUUCAGAUAAGUUAUAACUUGACAUAUGUGGCGGGCGUAUCAAAUGCAAAGCUUUUAAAGCAGGCAAGACCCACUCAGAAUCUGUUCGCAAUGAUUCAUCAUAGUCAAGAGGCACCCGUAACUUAAGUUUCUUCAAGGUAUCAGAACUAAACGUCGAUAACUUGAACGGCUUAUAACGAUGGAACUGCAAAUCGAUAUCGAGCUCUUCAACAUUAUGGUCAAUUGUAUAAUUAAUCAACCUUCUUACAAAAUUAGGCGGAAACGGAUAAACAGCAAGAAACUUGAAACAAGAAACAUGGGUAUCUUGGUCUCGAUUUUCCAAAACAUGGUCAAUAAAUCUGAUGAUACCAGAAUGAGUGUAUGGGAAAAGCUGAUCAUACCCAUCAAAUG
rnacentral:lncRNA from 1 species